GUGCCAGCCGCCGCGGUAAUACCGGUGGCUCGAGUGGUGGCCGCUAUUAUUGGGUCUAAAGGGUCCGUAGCGGCCUGAUAAGUACCUGGGAAAUCCGGUGGCCUAACCAUCGGGCGGCCAGGUAAUACUAUCAGGCUCGGGACUAGGAGAGACCAGAGGUACUCAUGAGGUAGGAGUGAAAUCCUGUAAUCUUAUGAGGACCACCAGUGGUGAAGACGUCUGGUUAGAAUAGGUCCGACGGUGAGGGACGAAGGCUGGGGGCGCAAACCGGAUUAGAUACCCGGGUAGUCCCAGCAGUAAACGAUGCCAGCUAUGUGUUGCUGGAACCAUGGGUUCCAGCAGUGCCGAAGGGAAGCCGUGAAGCUGGCCACCUGGGAAGUACGGUCGCAAGGCUGAAACUUAAAGGAAUUGGCGUGGGGAGUACCACAACC
rnacentral:rRNA from 1 species